rnacentral:rRNA from 1 species
GGCGGACGGGUGAGUAAUGCUUGGGAACAUGCCUUGAGGUGGGGGACAACAGUUGGAAACGACUGCUAAUACCGCAUAAUGUCUACGGACCAAAGGGGGCUUCGGCUCUCGCCUUUAGAUUGGCCCAAGUGGGAUUAGCUAGUUGGUGAGGUAAUGGCUCACCAAGGCGACGAUCCCUAGCUGGUUUGAGAGGAUGAUCAGCCACACUGGGACUGAGACACGGCCCAGACUCCUACGGGAGGCAGCAGUGGGGAAUAUUGCACAAUGGGCGCAAGCCUGAUGCAGCCAUGCCGCGUGUGUGAAGAAGGCCUUCGGGUUGUAAAGCACUUUCAGUCAGGAGGAAAGGUUAGUAGUUAGUACCUGCUAGCUGUGACGUUACUGACAGAAGAAGCACCGGCUAACUCCGUGCCAGCAGCCGCGGUAAUACGGAGGGUGCGAGCGUUAAUCGGAAUUACUGGGCGUAAAGCGUACGCAGGCGGUUUGUUAAGCGAGAUGUGAAAGCCCCGGGCUCAACCUGGGAACUGCAUUUCGAACUGGCAAACUAGAGUGUGAUAGAGGGUGGUAGAAUUUUCAGGUGUCGCGGUGAAAUGCGUAGAGAUCUGAAGGGAAUACCGACGGCGAAAGGCAGCCACCUGGGGUCAACACUGACGCUCAUGUACGNAAGCGUGGGGAGCAAACGGGGAUUAGAUACCCCGGUAGUCCACGCCGUAACCGAUGUCUACCUAGNAGCUCGGAGCCUCGGUUCUGUUUUUCCAAGCUNACGCAUUAAGUAGACCGCCUGGGGAGUCCCGCCCGCAANGCUAAACACUCAAAUUGAAUUGGACGGGGGGCCCCGCACNAGCCGGGUGAACCAUGUUGNUUNAUUCAGAUGCACGCGGAGAGCUUUACCUUACNCUUGGCACUAUCAGAGACUUACCAAGAAAUGGUUUUGGUGCCUUCGGACUCUGAUACAGUGCUGCAUGGCUGUCGUCAGCUCGUGUUUGUGA